rnacentral:rRNA from 1 species
GAGUUUGAUCUUGGCUCAGGACGAACGCUGGCGGCGCGCCUAACACAUGCAAGUCGAACGGAGUGUUUUCACGGAAGUUUUCGGAUGGAAGUGGUUACACUUAGUGGCGGACGGGUGAGUAACACGUGAGCAACCUGCCUUUCAGAGGGGGAUAACAGUUGGAAACGACUGCUAAUACCGCAUAACGUUGAGGAGAGACAUCUCCCCGCAACCAAAGGAGCAAUCCGCUGAAAGAUGGGCUCGCGUCCGAUUAGCUGGAUGGCGGGUAACGGCCCACCAUGGCGACGAUCGGUAGCCGGACUGAGAGGUUGAACGGCCACAUUGGGACUGAGACACGGCCCAGACUCCUACGGGAGGCAGCAGUGGGGGAUAUUGCACAAUGGGCGAAAGCCUGAUGCAGCGACGCCGCGUGAGGG